rnacentral:rRNA from 1 species
UACGGAGGAUCCAAGCGUUAUCCGGAAUUACUGGGCGUAAAGAGUUGCGUAGGUGGCAUGGUAAGUUGAUGGUGAAAUCCUGGGGCUCAACCCCUUACCCCAUUAUCAAAACUACCAAGCUAGAGGAUGAGAGAGGUUAUUGGAAUUCCUAGUGUAGGAGUGAAAUUCGUAGAUAUUCGCAAGAACACCAGUGGCGAAGGCGGCUCACUGGCCCGAUACUGACGCUGAGGCACGAAAGCGUGGGGAGCAAACAGGG